AUGGUAGAAGAUGUUGUGAGGGCAGAGCAUUCCACUUCUCCUAAUAAGCCCAUCUAUCUAUUGAGGAAUUCCUUUGGAGGAUGCUUAGCUCUUGCAGUUGCUGGUCGCAAUCCCCGUAUUGAUUUGAUACUGGUACUAGUCAAUCCAGCUACUUCAUUUGAGAGGUCAGACAUAAAAAAGCUUCUGUCAGUUUUCAGCUCGAACAACGCCUAUAUUGCAAUUACAGCUCUACUGAACUACAACAUCGACAACGAGGUGAACAUGGCUCUGAGUAGAAUGCAAAGUGGGGAGCAUCCUUUAGAAGCACUCGGCAGAUUGACAAGUAACAUGUCAACUUUUCUGAAGCAAACGAAUAUACUGGACAAACUACCAGAAGACACACUAAAAUGA
rnacentral:rRNA from 1 species